GUCUGUGGGUUCAAAACCUGCUCCAGGUCUCCUAACAUAGUGAGUAUAACUUCUUUAUCCAGCUGUGCCUUCUCCUCCCUGGCACUCUCAAGCUCCCAGUCUCCUUCGGUGCCCUGGUUCGGACCUGCCCGAGGGUCCUCAUCCGUUUUACGACAGCUGCCCGCUUUCUCCACCACUAUCUCAGGCCGCUGGUGCUGAUGCGCAGGAGCCAUCCGGCUGGACUUUCGACCCCAGGGCACAGGAAUAAGGGAGUGUUCAGAUUGGGAAAGCACCUUGGUGAGGGACAGCGAGAGCGAGCGAGCUCGGGUGCCGCUGUCCGGAUGUCUACGGGAGCUACCUCGGCCAUGCUGGGGCGAGGAUGACGAAGACGAUGUCCCGGAGGCUGUCGAAGGUGGACAAGGUGGUUCGUCCAGCUCGAAGGCAUAAACCCUCUGUUCACCAUCGCUAAGCAGCACGAGAUUGCCGAGAGAACGUUGCUUGCGGAGGUUUAAGUUGUCCGGGAGAGGCUGCGGUGACUUGCGAGGCGGGCUGCCGCCCUGGAACACGGAAAACUCGGCUCCUCGCUUCAUAUUUUCACACGGUCUUUACACUUUCUCUUCCUUGCCUUGAAGUUAGUUCCUCCUCACAUGAUCUGCGAGCCUCAGGUGGCUGCUGGCAUACACGCUCAGUCGCAAAGCUGCCCCUUGCACCGGGGAGCUUCAAAUAUCAUCCUGCCCACACACACACUUGCUCAGCGCAGCCAAUAACCAGCAUCCAGGUGCAUACUCCUCCUGUCUUCCUCUUCUCUCACUUCUUUCCUUCAAUGCAGCACGGAGGCUCAUAGAGAGCAGAUCUGCACCAGAUUACGGUGAAAUCGUGAUACGCGUCCUUCACGGCAUCUCUUUUCUCUUUCGGCGAGCGGAGACUCUUCACACUCUCUGUCUAUUAAUUACCGACUGGAGCGUGCGCAUGUGGUUCGCUCCAAGGGACAGCAGGAGAGACAAUGAUGGCUUGUUUCCUGUUGCUGUUAGCUACCGAUUCGGCACACACCUUUGCAGCAAAACAUCACUCAAUUAAUUGGGUACAAUACAGAAGAUUACCCAAAUCAGACUCCAGAGAAUUCAGCAAAUACAUGUCAUAAUCAUCUUUUUUCUUUUGCCAUAAGCUUCAGCAACACCUCCAACCAAUCAGCCAACUAAAAACAGAGCAGGUGCAUGCAGAGAUUUUGCUUUUGUACUUACAUCGAGUAGAGCACAUUUUACAACCGGGCGGAACCCACAGUGCAGGAAGUGAGUUCUGAGGUUAAC